CCUACGGGAGGCAGCAGUGAGGAAUAUUGGUCAAUGGGCGCGAGCCUGAACCAGCCAAGUAGCGUGAAGGAUGACUGCCCUACGGGUUGUAAACUUCUUCUGUAAAGGAAUAAAGUGAGGCUUGUGUGCCUCUUUGUAUUUACUUUAUGAAUAAGGAACGGCUAACUCCGUGCCAGCAGCCGCGGUACUACAGAGGAUCCGAGCGUUAUCCGGAUUGAUUGGGCUUAAAGGGAGCGUAGAUGGGUUGUUAAGUCAGUUGUGAAAGUUUGCGGCUCAACCGUAAAAUUGCAAUUGAUACUGGCAGCCUUGAGUACAGUUGAGGUAGGUGGAAUUCGUGGUGUAGCGGUGAAAUGCUUAGAUAUCACGAAGAACUCCGAUUGCGAAGGCAGCCUACUAAACUGCCACUGACAUUGAUGCUCGAAAGUGUGGGUAUCAAACAGGAUUAGAUACCCCUGUAGUC
rnacentral:rRNA from 1 species